rnacentral:rRNA from 1 species
UGAGGAAUAUUGGACAAUGGGCGAGAGCCUGAUCCAGCCAUGCCGCGUGCAGGAAGACGGCCCUAUGGGUUGUAAACUGCUUUUAUAGAGGAAGAAACACCCCGACGUGUCGGGGCGUUGACGGUACUCUACGAAUAAGGAUCGGCUAACUCCGUGCCAGCAGCCGCGGUAAUACGGAGGAUCCAAGCGUUAUCCGGAAUCAUUGGGUUUAAAGGGUCCGUAGGCGGGACAAUCAGUCAGCGGUGAAAGUCUGUGGCUCAACCAUAGAAUUGCCAUUGAUACUGUUGUUCUUGAAUACUUAUGAAGUGGUUGGAAUAUGUAGUGUAGCGGUGAAAUGCAUAGAUAUUACAUAGAACACCGAUUGCGAAGGCAGAUCACUAAUAAGUCAUUGACGCUGAUGGACGAAAGCGUAGGUAGCGAACAGGAUUAGAUACCCUGGUAGUCUACGCCGUAAACGAUGGUUACUAGCUGUUCGGUCGCAAG